rnacentral:piRNA from 1 species
GAAAAAGGCAGGACAGAAGAACAUCAACU